rnacentral:rRNA from 1 species
GAGUUUGAUCAUGGCUCAGAUUGAACGCUGGCGGCAUGCCUUACACAUGCAAGUCGAACGGCAGCAUGAUCUAGCUUGCUAGAUUGAUGGCGAGUGGCGAACGGGUGAGUAAUACAUCGGAACGUGCCCUGUAGUGGGGGAUAACUAGUCGAAAGAUUAGCUAAUACCGCAUACGACCUGAGGGUGAAAGUGGGGGACCGCAAGGCCUCAUGCUAUAGGGGCGGCCGAUGUCUGAUUAGCUAGUUGGUGGGGUAAAGGCCCACCAAGGCGACGAUCAGUAGCUGGUCUGAGAGGACGAUCAGCCACACUGGGACUGAGACACGGCCCAGACUCCUACGGGAGGCAGCAGUGGGGAAUUUUGGACAAUGGGCGAAAGCCUGAUCCAGCAAUGCCGUGUGUGUGAAGAAGGCCUCGGUGU